GUAGGAGCUGGGCCUAAUUCCAAUUUUCUUCUCACUUCUAAAAGAAAAGGAUACUGUCAAGGAAACAGAGAUCAGGCUUUCUCUUCGAGAGGAAAGCUCUGCAGCUCUGAGGACAUGUCAGACUAAUUGUCAGUGACUUAAAAAGUGUUCACUGUUCUUUGUGGCGCAAGAGAUGAAAAAAUCUGUGCAGACUGAAGGCUUUCCAAAACGCUAAAUGCUUUCUUUUGCUUGGUGAGCUCCUCAGAGACAGCAUUGCAGGGUCACCGGACGAUCAGGGCCACCAGCCUUAACAACUGUAUUCCCUCUCAGAAAGGCUGCUUUGGGGGCAGACCUAGGCAUGCGACUGAGACUUUUUGUGCUGAUGGCAAAGUUAUUUUGCUGCCAGUGCUGCUGGAGAGCAGACAAGCAGGCUAGUAGGACACAAUAUGGGUAUAUGUCCAAGACCCAGGCCUUUCUGGAUGUCUGAUACUGAUGCAGGGCUGCUGUGGGACACAGCCUGAAGCUCUCCCCUGGAGGCAGACCCGGAAGCAUCCCAUGCUCAGGGUUCUCAGCAACACA